UACGGAGGGUGCGAGCGUUGUCCGGAAUCAUUGGGCGUAAAGGGCGCGUAGGUGGCGCGGCAAGCGUGCGGUGAAAGCUCGGGGCUCAACCCCGAGUCGGCCGUGCGAACUGCCGCGCUCGAGCACUGUAGAGGCAGGCGGAAUUCCGGGUGUAGCGGUGGAAUGCGCAGAUAUCAGGAGGAACACCGGUGGCGAAGGCGGGUCUCUGGGCAACUACUGACGCUGAGGAGCGAAAGCGUGGGGAGCGAACAGG
rnacentral:rRNA from 1 species